UACGUAGGGUCCGAGCGUUGUCCGGAAUUAUUGGGCGUAAAGGGCUCGUAGGCGGUUUGUUGCGUCGGCUGUGAAAUCCCGAGGCUCAACCUCGGGUCUGCAGUCGAUACGAGCAAACUAGAGUGUUGCAGGGGAGACUGGAAUUCCUGGUGUAGCGGUGAAAUGCGCAGAUAUCAGGAGGAACACCGGUGGCGAAGGCGGGUCUCUGGGCAACAACUGACGCUGAGGAGCGAAAGCGUGGGGAGCGAACAGG
rnacentral:rRNA from 1 species